rnacentral:lncRNA from 1 species
ACAGUCACAGUCCUGAAGACUCAGUGCGGACUGACCCCAGUGCUCCUGUGCCCAAGGUCAGACCUGGUCAGAGUACUCCAGCCUCGGGCUACAACCCCUGCCUCAGGAACGGACGUGUGACUCAUACAAAGCCUUUUAGGAUCCACCUGGGGACUUUUACUGUGCUCCUGGGACAAAUGUACACAUUUCCUCUAGCAUGUUAAGCUGUUAGGAUCUUGCUGCCAGCUGGUAAAAUUUACACUCAACACAGAGGAAAAGUCAGGGACAGAGAGACAGGGUUCUGACUUCACAUGAGGACUGCUUACCCAGAUCCAGCUCUGCCUGACUUUCCAGUUUACUGGGCUAGCCUGCACUGGUUUUCUGUUGCUUGCAGCCAAAGUGGCCUAAAUAGUGUACUUUUGCUGUUGGCACUUAUGUCCAAAUCACCAUAAAUAUGCUGCCUCUGAUCACUAUAGGGAAAGGAUUCAGUGAUUCAUUUCUUCCUGCCUGCCUGCCUGUCUGCUUGCUUGCUGGCUUUUUGUCGCUUUCUCUCUUUCUCUCUUUCUUUCUUUCUUUCUGGGCUGCACCUGCAGCACAUGGAAGCUCCUGGGCCAGGGAUCAAAUCUGAGUUAUAUCUGCAGCCCACAGCUACAGCAGCCCUGGAUCUGUAACCCACUGCCCUGGGUGGGGAAUUGGACCGGCAACACCACGGAGACAAGCCAGAUCAUGAACCCACUGCUCCACAGCUGGCACUCUGGAUUCUGUGAUUUCUAAUUGGCCACAACUCACAAGGACACAGAGGCUUUGAAACAGCUGAGCACAGAUUUCAAGAAUGAGAAGACAAGGUCAUGACUGUACUUUUGAAAUUGCUGUUGUAGGUGUGCAGAAGCAUGAUGCUUCUCUCACCACCUUUGACUGUUUACUGAUUGGAAGCACAAGACGGAUCAGAUGGGAGAACUGGCCCAAAAACGGGUGUGAGAUGCCAACAAGGAAAGGGAAACCCAAAUACCAUUUCACAACAGCCUGAAUCACAUACUUCUCAAACACAAAGAAAGGAAGUGGCCUCAUCCAGAACUUUAGAGGAAAGAAACCCUAUGAGCCAUGACCAUAAGCUGCUAAUUUAAGGAAUUACUACAAUAUGUGUCCAAAGCCCGAUCUUUUAUGAAAAGAUUGGUUUCUGCUCAGCUGAGGCACCUGUGUGCUUUUUAAUCUGCCUGUUUAACAGCAGGAGCCCGUUAUUCUUUGGCGUUCUCUAGUUAUAACAGAUUCCAGCUCCAGAAACAUCAAGAAAUUGGAUUCCAGCUGCCAGGGGGUCUCUCUGAGAGAUUUCGUUCUCUAAGACAGAACUGUCUUUUUCUCUUUUUUCCGUCGUGAGAGGCGGCAUGGGGAACACCUGUGAUAAUCUGCAGAGGCAAAGCCUCAUGUGAGCAGGGCAGACAACGCUGCAGAGAGAAAGCCUUAGGGCCAGAAGUUCAAGGGAAGGCGGGGGAAUGAACUUUUUAAUGAUUAAGAAAGUUUGCUGACUACCACGUUGUGGUCUAACCCCCAGUGUUUUCAGGCUUCCCAUGUUAUUACCGAAGCCGGGACCAUUUUCAUUUCCCUGCUGCUUCACUGAAUCACUUGAUGCGCUUCAAAACUUCCUUGGUCUUUCUGCUCUGUGUCCUCUCAUUUUCGGGUGAGAUGCCCGUGGUUUAGAGAAUUUCUUCUCUCCUGCAUCACAGUCCCUCUCCUGGGAUCUAUGGAUGAACCUAGUGACCAUUUGGGACUUUAUGCUUUCAGAAUGUCAAUUCCAGACAUACCUUUUUGUUUUUGUUUUUCCUGGGAACCUCCAUAGGCUGUGGGCGCGGCCCUAUGAUGAGAUCGGCGAAAUAUGUUUAUGGUCAUUAGUAAAAAAUAGACAAAUCUUGGCGUUCCCACUGUGACGCAAUGGUGGCAUCUCCGUAAGGCCUGGACGCAGGUUCGGUCCCCAGCCCAGCACUGUGGAUUAAAGGAUCCAGCAGCACUGCAGCUGUGGCAUAGGUUGUAACUGCAGCUCGGAUCUGAUCCCUGGCCUGGGAACUCCAUGUUCCAUGAGGCAGCCGAAAAAGAAAAGGAAAAAAAUAGACAGAUCUGGUCAAAGUUGCCACCAAAAUCGGUUUUGGUGCGCACACGUGCAGAGAAAGAAGAGCCCAGGAUGGAAAAUGCCAAAGAUACCGCAGUAUGGUUUCAGUGGCCAUAGAAUCUCCUUUGAAUCAGGGCCUGGAAAAUCUGAGUGCACAUAAGCUGCUGCUACCUCAGGAAGAAAUUUCUCUUUUCUGGGGUCAGCCUGAUGAGCCCCUUGUAAGAAUAAUGAUGGCAUAACACGUACAACAGGCCUUCUACGUGCCUGGCCCUGUUUGACAUUUUUCUGUUAUUGCCAUUGAUUUUCACAGUAACCCUGAAGAAGACACGAAGGCUCAGUCAGUUUAAUUAAAUUGCCCAGCGUUCCACAGCUAAUAAGUUUGGAGCCGAGAUUUUCACCUAGAUCUAAAUUAAAAACCUCCUCAAGAGAAAAAUUGUAUUUAUAAUAUAAAUUUAUCAGAAGAUUAAAAAAACCCUCAUGUUUGGGGAGUUCCCGUCGUGGUGCAGUGGAAACAAAUCCAUUUAAGAACCAUGAGGUUGCGUGUUCGAUCCCUGGCCUCGCUCAGUGGGUUAAGUUAAGGUUGCCGUGAACUGCGGUGUAGGCUGGCAGCAACAGCUCUGAUUAGACCCCUUGCCUGGGAACCUCCAUAUGCCCCGGGUGCAGCCCUAAAAAGACAAAAGCCAAAAAAAAAAAACCAAACAAAAAAAAGCCCCUUGUAUUUGGAAUUCUCUGGUAGCUCAGCAGGUCAAGGAUUCAGAACUGUCAUUGCAGGGGCUUGGGUCACUGCUGUGGUUUGGGUUUGGUCUCCGGCCCCGGAACUUCUGCAUGCCAUGGGCAUAGCCAAAAUAAAGAAACAAAAAAUGAAACCCUCUUUUUUUUUUGGUUAUUUUAGGGCCGCACCCAAGGCAUGUGGAGGUUCCCAGGCUCGGGGUUGAAUCAGAGUUGUAGCUGCUGGCCCACACCACAGCCACAGCAAUGUCAGAUCCUUAACCCACUGAGUGAGGCCUGGGAUCGAACCCUCAUCCUCAGGGAUCCUAGUCAGGUUCGUUAACCACUGAGCUGCGAAAGGAACUCCAGCCCUCAUUUUUAAAGAAGAAAGCCAUAUGCUCUUCGUAGAAGUGAAUUCGGAAACUCUCCAGGAAAGGCAAUCGCCUAUAACAAAUCUCAAGAACAAAAAUAGCUUGACAGGAGUUCCCGUCGUGGCUCAGAGGAAAUGAACUCAACUAGUAUCCAUGAGGAUUCGGGUUUGAUCCCUGGCCUCGUUCAGUGGGUUAAAGAGCCAGUGUUGCUGUGGCUGUGGCAUAGGCCGGCAGCUGCAGCUCCAAUUCAAUGCCUAGCCUGGGAACUGCCAUGUGCUGAGGGUGCAGCC